GGGAAUCUUACCGGGGGCGACAGCAGAGUGAAGGUCAAGCUGAAGACUUUACCAGACAAGCUGAGAGGAGGUGCAUGGCCGUCGCCAGCUCGUGCCGUGAGGUGUCCUGUUAAGUCAGGUAACGAGCAAGAUCCCUGCCUCUAGUUGCUACCACUGCUCUCAGGAGCAGAGGGGCUAAUUAGAGGGACCGCCGCCGCUGAGGCGGAGGAAGGAGGGGGCUACGGCAGGUCAGUAUGCCCCGAAACCCUCGGGCCACACGCGGGCUGCAAUGGUAAGGACAGCGGGCUCCGAUCCCGAAAGGGGGAGGCAAUCCCUCAAACCUUACCACAGUUAUGAUUGAGGGCUGAAACUCGCCCUCAUGAAUAUGGAAUCCCUAGUAACCGCGCGUCAACAUCGUGCGGUGAAUACGUCCCUGCUCCUUGCACACACCGCCCGUCGCUUCAUCGAAGUUGGUUCUUGGCGAGGUGGUGCCUCAUUGGCACUAUCGAACCUGGGGUCAGCAACGAGGGAGAAGUCGUAACAAGGUGGCCGUAGGGGAACCUGCGGCCGGAUCACCUCCU
rnacentral:rRNA from 1 species